GAGUUUGAUCAUGGCUCACAUUGAACGCUGGCGGCAGGCUUAACACAUGCAAGUCGAACGGUAAAGUAGCUUGCUACUUACGAGUGGCGGACGGGUGAGUAACGUAUGGGAAUUUACCGAAUGGAGGGGGACGACAGUUGGAAACGGCUGCUAAUACCGCAUAACGUCGAGAGACCAAAGGGUUUCGACUUGCCAUUUGAUGAGCCCAUAUGAGAUUAGCUAGUUGGUGUGGUAAUGGCUCACCAAGGCGACGAUCUCUAGCUGGUUUGAGAGGAUGACCAGCCACACUGGGACUGAGACACGGCCCAGACUCCUACGGGAGGCAGCAGUGGGGAAUAUUGCACAAUGGGGGGAACCCUGAUGCAGCCAUGCCGUGUGUAUGAAGAAGGCCUUAGGGUUGUAAAGUACUCUCGUGCGGGAGGAAGGGUUUACGUAAUCGUGGACAUUGACGUUACUCCAAGAAGAAGCACCGGCUAACUCCGUGCCAGCAGCCGCGGUAAUACGGAGGGUGCGAGCGUUAAUCGGAAUGACUGGGCGUAAAGGGCAUGUAGGCGGAUGAUUAAGUUAGAUGUGAAAUCCCUGGGCUUAACCUACGAAUUGCAUUUAAACU
rnacentral:rRNA from 1 species